rnacentral:ncRNA from 1 species
AUCGCGUAAGAACCAGCCCUUGGAAGGGGAACAACAGCUGGAAACGGUUGCUAAUACUCUAUAGGCUAAGGAACAAAAGGAGGAACCAACCCGAGAAGGGGUUGGCGUCUGAUUAGCUAGUUGGUGAGGCAAUAGCUUACCAAAGCGAUGAUCAGUAGCUGGCCCAAGAGGAUGAUCAGC